rnacentral:rRNA from 1 species
CCUACGGGCGACUGCAGUGGGGAAUAUUGCACAAUGGGGGAAACCCUGAUGCAGCGACGCCGCGUGAGCGAAGAAGUAUUUCGGUAUGGAAAGCUCUAUCAGCAGGGAAGAAAAUGACGGUACCUGAGUAAGAAGCUACGGCUAAAUACGUGCCAGCAGCCGCGGUAAUACGUAUGGAGCAAGCGUUAUCCGGAUUUACUGGGUGUAAAGGGAGCGCAGGCGGCCUUGCAAGUCUGAUGUGAAAUACCGGGGCUCAACCCCGGAGCUGCAGUGGAAACUGUGAGGCUGGAGUGCCGGAGAGGCAGGCGGAAUUCCUGGUGUAGCGGUGAAAUGCGUAGAUAUUAGGAGGAACACCAGUGGCGAAGGCGGCCCGCUGGACGAUGACUGACGCUGAGGCUCGAAAGCGUGGGGAGCAAACAGGAUUAGAUACCCUUGUAGUC